rnacentral:lncRNA from 1 species
CUUCACAACUUUUCAUUUCUUCUUUCACUUAGUCAGGAGCUUUUGGCCAAAAACUCUCCACUGCUUGGCGAACUGAAUCUGGAAUUCCUCCCAUCAAGUAAAAGCUUUCUCUUCUCUUAAGGGCCUCCUUUGCUAUAACAUGAGCGUAGACAUUCUCUGCCUUAGGGAUAAAAUGAAAGUCGAUCUCCUGGAAUCUAUCUUUUUUGCUUUGUAUGUCUCUGAUAAUUGCUCCAAUGACAGAUUUGUCUGUAUCACUUCUUUGGCAUUUCUUAAUGAUAGUUUUCGAAUCUCCCACUACUUCUAUUUUGUUUAACCCCAUAGAAAUCCCUAAUUUUAUUGCCUGUAAUCCUGCAUAUGAUUCUGCCGUGAACGAAGUUGCUAUCUCGGAGUGCAUGACUGCCUUCGAUGCGAGGAUCUCCCCCUCCUCGUUCAGUACAAGCAAACCCGUAGUCGAUCUGGACGAUAGUCGGUCGAAGGUUGCGUCAAAAUAAACUGUGAUCUUUCCCCUUCUACAUAUCUGUUGAGUAUUUUCAGCUGGUUGAAGAGUAAAUCUUGUCUCCUCUAUUGCAUCCAGUUCUACCAUAUAGUUCCGAGUUUGUCUUGCUAUUUCGAUUCCUGUCAUAUGUCUUCUUUCAUAUAAUAACUUAUUUUUGCUGAACCAGAUUAACCAAAGACCAUAACAAAAGAGCCAGAUCUGCUCAUCUGUUCCUUUAUCAUAGACCCAGGUAAGCCAUUGCCAUAUAUUCAGAUUAUUAUGGCUGAAAACCUAUGCUAGUCUUAACUGAUUCCAAACUUCAAUUGUAAAUGGACAUUGUUGAAAAAUAUGAGUGUUGUCCUUAUCUCCUUGGCGACAUCUAGGACAUUGGGCAUCCACCACAACCCUCUUGAGCCUAAGGUUGACAAGAGACGGAAUGAAGUUCCAAGAUAUUCUCCAAACUGUAAUUUGAAUUUUUGAGGGGAUGUAUAAUUUCCAUAGUUUUCUGUAGAAAUUUUUAAUUUCGGUCUGUCAAAUAAUAGUAUUAGGAUCCAAGCAAAUUUCAUGUAAUAGUUUGUAGGCACUCCUAACGGAGAACUCCCCUGUCAACUCCCCUUUCCAUACUUGAAAAUCUUCGUGUGCUGUCUUCGCUAGCGGGAUCUUCAGAGUUUUUUCCGCUACAUCCAUUUGGAAGGUAUUCCUUGUGACCUUUGUUUUCCAGCUUCUAGUGAUGGCUUCGAUUAAAUUUGAAACUAACUUAAUAUUAUCAUUGUUGUCUUGGUUUGAUAUUCUAUCUGAUUCAUUUCCUGAUAUCAAUAAAUCAUCCCAAACAGAUAUUUGAUCCCCUCUCUCAACCCUCUAGCAUAAUCCUUUCUCCAGAAGCCCUCUCGUAGCCCAAACACUUUUCUAG